rnacentral:rRNA from 1 species
GGAGGGUGCGAGCGUUGUUCGGAAUCACUGGGCGUAAAGCGCGUGUAGGCGGCCCACUAAGUCUGAUGUGAAAGCCCGGGGCUCACCCCCGGAAGUGCAUUGGAAACUGGUGGACUAGAGUCCCGGAGAGGAGAGUGGAAUUCCUGGUGUAGCGGUGAAAUGCGUAGAUAUCAGGAGGAACACCGGUGGCGAAGGCGGCUCUCUGGACGGUGACUGACGCUGAGACGCGAAAGCGUGGGGAGCAAACAGGAUUAGAUACCCUGGUAGUCCACGCCGUAAACGAUGAGCACUAGGUGUCGCGGGUAUUGACCCCUGCGGUGCCGACGCUAACGCAUUAAGUGCUCCGCCUGGGGAAUACGGCCGCAAGGUUA